CAACCAAGAUGGUUGCUCCUCUAUAAGACAGCUUUCAGAAGAAGUGCGCUGAUGGUGUGAACCAUCUCUAGAUUUUGAAAUGCCUCUUUGGGUGACAGCAGAACUAGGGACAUAAUCAACAUACGAGGGGGAAAUGCUAGGAAACGGACUUUUAGGAGGCAGUAAAGAGCUCUUUCCAUUCUUUGAGUGACAGCAGAACUAGGGACAUAAUCAACAUACGAGGGGGAAAUGCUUGGAAACGGACUUUUAGGAGGCAGUAAAGAGCUCUUUCCAUUGUACACCAUAUUUCUCAUGCUAGAUGCCCCCUUGGAAUUUGCCAUGCAAAGCACACAAGAUCCCUGCUAAACAAUGAAAUGAUUGUACAUAUGUGAAAAGAAAGAA
rnacentral:lncRNA from 1 species